CCCUUAGAUGUUCUGGGCCGCACGCGUGCUACACUGAGUGGAUCAGCGGGUCAGGUUGCGCGAAAGUGUUUCCUAAUCUUGAAAUCCGCUCGUGAUGGGGAUUGGCGGUUGCAAUUUUCCGUCAUGAACGAGGAAUACCUUGUAAGCGCGGGUCAUCAUCCCGCGCUGAAUACGUCCCUGCCCUUUGUACACACCGCCCGUCGCUCCUACCGAUUGAGUGGUCCGGUGAGGCUUUGGGAUCUGAGCAAAAAGAGCGUUUCGCUCGUUUGGCUCGGAAAACUCAGUCGAACCUUAUCAUUUAGAGGAAGGAGAAGUCGUAACA
rnacentral:rRNA from 1 species